AGUCACUGUUGCCGUGGGCCCCUGGGGGUCUUAUCUGUGAGACGGCUAGCAGUUGAACCAGAGCAGCUGUUCCCAAACCUGAGCGCAUCAGCAUCGCUGCACGGCUUGUUAAACUGCAGAUUCCUGGGCCCCACAUCCAGAGUUUCUGAUUUCCAGGAACAGUUCGCCGCGUAGCAGCCGCUGGGGCGCUGGGAGCGGCGGGAAGGGUGGAAGAAGGCAGGCGCAGAGGCCCGGAGAGGCGGGAGCCAGGUCGCGGCCCCGCAGCCGCUCCGGUCUCAGUCCGGGUAUUCUCGGUGGCAGAGCCCGGGCCUGGCCGCCGGCGCCGCGGGUGGGAGGACGGCGCCUGGAGCGGAGCCCGGAGGCGCGAAGAGGAGGAGCGGGUCUCAGUCCUGGGAGCGGGAACAGCGCAGGCAAGCCGGGGAACCUCGGGGGCGGUGACCGAGGGCUGGACAGCUCGGGUCACCGCGGGACCCCACUAGGGGACUACGGGGAACCGGCCUCACCCGCGGAGCGCUGAGAAUAACCCAGCGGGCAUUCAAACUGGCGAGUCCGGCUGCGUUCCUGCGGCCCGCGCCCAGCCGAGCCCUGAUUGGCGUUCACGCAGCCAAUCAUAGCCUCAGGGCCUGAGGUGGGUGGGGCCGGAGCGGGCCGGGCGCGCCCGCGGAGGCGGACCCCGAGGACCCUGUCUUCUGGGUGCGCCAGAAACGGAGGGGGGCCGGUUGGCGCGUCCCGCUUCUCCGCGCCUCGUUGGAAGGCCACACCCGGGCCUGGAGACCUGGACAGAAGCGGACACUGCGACUCAAAACCCCAGGCUCAAUGGGAGAUGCCUACCGUGCAAAGUCCCGGAGCGCUGGCCUGGAGGAAGAGGGCGUCCCGCGCCUGUGCAAAUACCUGGAGAACGCGCGGGAGACGAUGCUGCUGCAGGGUAUCGAAAGAGGGUAACAACCUCGUCUUCAAGUAAAUAAAGGGAGGGAUUCAAAUUAUAAGGCAAAGGAAAAAUUGGUUCUUUGCUGUGGGGAAGAGUUGCUGAAAAUUAAAGAACAAUCUCCUGAGCUGAAGGAAGCUUUGGGUUUGGUAAUUUGGGGUGUGGGGCAGGCCUUCCAGAAUGCCAAGGGCGUCAAGACUAGUGUGUCUCGCCCUUAGUGUUUCCUUCCUCCAUUUGAGAGAGCUUUCUGGCAUAGAACAAAAAAAAAGUUCACCCCUUCUUGUCUCUGCUGACACCUAGAUUCUUCUCAGCUGUAUGUCCCUGUUCCUAUUAGGGUAACACAGGAUGGGGGAAGAAUAGCUCAGUGAUCUUCCCUUCACAUCUCCCCUAAAAGCAUUGUGAAAUAUCAUGUGCCCCCUCCCACAGGCUUAGGUUGACCUGAAAUUCUCAGCAUGUGUUCAAAGAAUUGCAAAGAAUGUAAUUUACAACAUAUUAUAUGUAUAUAUAUAUUAACACGUUUAAAUAAAACUGUUAAUCACAUGUCCAAUGGAAUCUAAAUACCAUAACAUUUUGACACCCAUCGUUAAUUUUUUAAAUGCACAAUCUCUUUCUUAACAGUUGGAAAUUUUACACUGUUCCUUUUUUUUCCUUUGAAUUCAUAUUUUCAUUUUAUUCUCCCUAUAGAAUUUUUUUUUUUUUUUGAAUUCUCAAGCCUGGCUGCAUCCUCAUGUAAUAUAUUUUUGUUCUUGGACUUCUUUUCUUGAUCCAUCUUUUGCAACAAAAUAUGUUCUUAAAGUGAAUUUUUUAUUUCCUGUUCUAAGUGUUUAAAAAGUCAUCUGGAUUAAGAUAAUAUUACAAUUAUUAGAGAUACACAGUUGAUCAAACAAUAUAAAUAAUAUAGAUUUUGGUAAAUAAAAGAAUAAAUUUUUAAAAAGUAAAAUUUAUCUGGAAAUAUAUCUCUUACUGAGAUAGAUAGGGGCUUUAUAUUGCCAACUUUAUGAGGAUGAAAGCUACUUAUUGAUAUUAUGAGGCUGGGGUCUAUGUGAUUUCUAUUCCUUUAAAAAAUUUUUAACAUGAAAGAACUAAAAGAAUCUUGUUCACAUAACUAAGUAUGGAAACAGGAUAAAUAUGGGAAUGAAAAGAAUUUUAUUGUAACAACUUCAUCCAAUUUCUAAAAUUUCUUCUUAGUUAUAUGUCAAAAAUUAUAUAGUGAGCUGUUAUUAAAUACUAUUUUUAAUAACCUCACAACUCAAGUAUAGAGUUCUUCAAUAUUGUUGAAACAAAGAAUUAGAAACUACCUGAUUUGCAAAAAUAUUUGUACACAUACGUUAUGUUCUGUCACUUUCUCAGGUCUUAGAAGUAGACCAAAGAGGCUUUACAGAUUCUUACCAAACUAAUAAUUAUACUUGUUAGUCUUUCACUUAGAGGCAUCUUGUUUCUGAAACUCAAAUUAGAUGAAACUGAGGUUAGAAAGAAACAAACAAACCCACAAAAUUGGAAAUUAAAAAUCAAUAGGUUCCAAAUAAAGACUUUUCCCCAUUUUUUAUGUCAUCUGGAAGUGCCUUUAAAAAGUAUGACAAAGAGAUGGACACUUUAAACUAAUGUGUGUGUGUGCUUGUAAUUUCAUUUCAUUGUAGGAAAUGAUUAAUUUUAUAAUCAUGAUUUGACAG
ensembl:lncRNA